rnacentral:rRNA from 1 species
AGUCGAGCGGUAGAGAGGUGCUUGCACCUCUUGAGAGCGGCGGACGGGUGAGUAAAGCCUAGGAAUCUGCCUGGUAGUGGGGGAUAACGCUCGGAAACGGACGCUAAUACCGCAUACGUCCUACGGGAGAAAGCAGGGGACCUUCGGGCCUUGCGCUAUCAGAUGAGCCUAGGUCGGAUUAGCUAGUUGGUGAGGUAAUGGCUCACCAAGGCGACGAUCCGUAACUGGUCUGAGAGGAUGAUCAGUCACACUGGAACUGAGACACGGUCCAGACUCCUACGGGAGGCAGCAGUGGGGAAUAUUGGACAAUGGGCGAAAGCCUGAUCCAGCCAUGCCGCGUGUGUGAAGAAGGUCUUCGGAUUGUAAAGCACUUUAAGUUGGGAGGAAGGGCAUUAACCUAAUACGUUAGUGUUUUGACGUUACCGACAGAAUAAGCACCGGCUAACUCUGUGCCAGCAGCCGCGGUAAUACAGAGGGUGCAAGCGUUAAUCGGAAUUACUGGGCGUAAAGCGCGCGUAGGUGGUUCGUUAAGUUGGAUGUGAAAUCCCCGGGCUCAACCUGGGAACUGCAUUCAAAACUGUCGAGCUAGAGUAUGGUAGAGGGUGGUGGAAUUUCCUGUGUAGCGGUGAAAUGCGUAGAUAUAGGAAGGAACACCAGUGGCGAAGGCGACCACCUGGACUGAUACUGACACUGAGGU